GUUCAACUUGUCCACAGCAGUCACUUUCAAGUCUGACCUCUAAUGCAAGUGCUUAUUUUAUUUAAGCAAUCUCUAUAGUUAUUUACUGCUGUGUUACCUUGCUACUUUUUCAACUGUGAAGGAUUCUUACUUUGGAACCUGCUUCCCUGCUUCAAGCAGCUCAGCAUACUGGAUCUUUUUCCUUUUGGAUUCCUACACUGCAUCAAGUCCCGGCUGCAAGGAUCACUUCCUCAUUUUUGCUCACCUGCUGCACACUGUCUGCAAAGCUCUCAUCUGUUCCUCCCAGCAAUCUCUCCUACCAAGUUGUAAGUAGAUUGUUAUCUAAAACAUUGUUCACUGCUCUGAAAACUGGAUCCAGUCCUUUCUUCAUCUGCAACUAAGAAAGAGAAUCCCAUUUCCCCACACCAAUGGAGAAUGGUGUAAUUAAAGCCCCACUAACCUCAGAGGAGAAAAAUAGAAGACGCAUCUCCAAUUUGUGCCUCUAUUGUGCCAGUAGAGACCACCCAGUAGCAACAUGUCCCAUACUACAGAGAUCAAGGAAGGUGGGAUCGACUUCAAAUCAAGACUGAGGCCAUUGUUGAUUCAGGGGCGUAUGGGUGUUUUAUGGAUGCCACUUUUGUUAGUGCUAAUAAAAUACCGUGUGUUACAAAGCAAAAACCUCUGUUUAUUAAAGUAAUAGAUGGUUCAUUGAUUCAUAGUGGUCCUAUAAAACAACACACCAUACCUUUAUUAAUAACUACUACUGAUGGUCACACAGAAUAUCAAAGCUUUGAUAUAAUACCCUCAGCACUACAUACCAUCAUCUUAGGUUUUCCCUGGUUAGUCAAACACAAUCCCACUAUAGACUGGAAACACUCAAAGAUAACAUUCCCCUCCUUAUUUUGUAAAACCACUUGUUUUCAACAACAAACUAUAGGAAUGUUAGAUGUUAGCAUACCAACAGAGUAUCAGGAUUUAAGUGAUGUGUUUGAUUUAAAGGAAGCAGAGACUCUUCCUCCCCAUAGGGAUUUUGAUUGUCCCAUAGAUUUGGUACCCGGAGCAGUAGUUCCAUAUGGGAAAAUAUAUCCCCUCUCUCAAGAUGAGUUACAGUAUCUCAGAGAAUAUCUAGACGAGAAUCUUAGGAAAGGUUUCAUAGUACCAUCUGUAUCACCCGCAGCUGCCGGAAUAUUUUUUGUAAAAAAUAAAGAUCA